UACAGAGGUCUCAAGCGUUGUUCGGAUUCAUUGGGCGUAAAGGGUGCGUAGGCGGUGUGGUAAGUCGGGUGUGAAAUCUCGGAGCUUAACUCCGAAACUGCAUUCGAUACUGCCGUGCUUGAGGACUGGAGAGGAGACUGGAAUUUACGGUGUAGCGGUGAAAUGCGUAGAUAUCGUAAGGAAGACCAGUGGCGAAGGCGGGUCUCUGGACAGUUCCUGACGCUGAGGCACGAAAGUCAGGGGAGCAAACGGG
rnacentral:rRNA from 1 species